UUCUGCGUUACCUAACCUCUCAUUCUUCUUUCGCACCUAAGCUCGCACUUAUACACGUCCUUUUUCGAUCUCUCGUUCUACCAUGUCAGAUAUAUUGAAGAUUUAUAAUAUUAAAAUUGGUGACUCAACGUGUCCCAGUGAGGUGCUUAGAAAUAGAUGAAAUAAGUAAUGAGUUAUUACUCAGAGAUGCAGAUCUCUCGGUUUUAUCGACGAACUUCGUGCCUGGACGGCUAACGUUCGCCAAUCAUUUUACCUGAAUGAAUUUUCCACGAUCUCGAGACCGACAAUAAACCCGCCUAACCUAUCCAGAGAAACUGCCAGUGGUCAGAGCCAGAGCAAUCAUAACGACUCAGCGAAGGAUGAGGUCAUGCGCCACGAAACCGUGCAUGUACUAAUAGACCGUAAAUGACACCGGUAUAUUCGAAAAAUAGAACAGAAAUAUCUUGCCGCUGUAAACGAGCUCGACGAGGUAAAGAAGAAAUUCGUUGUAAA